UCCGGGUGAAUUUAAUUUUCGUCAUCUAAAUGGUCCCAUGGAAUUGUGUCUUGACCAACAAACUAUCGUGGAGCCAUACACUGUUCCAAUUCAGAUGGCGCCAUUCCCAAAACAAAUACUAUUGAACCUUGCUGAUAUUGCCGAGUUGCCAAACAGGACUUUAGUCGACAUUAUGGCUGUUGUAGUCCACUUGGAUACAAUACAUCGCACAAUGUGGGGCCCUUUCAGAAAGAUUGUUAUAAUGGAUGCUAGGGGAUAUUUACAUAUCAUUAAAGUUUGGGGUGACCUACUAAACAAAAAUGCACUCCGCUGGGCGUUGGCUAAGGAGGAUUAUGGCAUAAUAAUUGGGACUAUGUUUAGACGGUUCAGAAGACAAGAGUGCCUCGAGUCUUCGGAUCAUACCGCAAUACACUUCAAUCCGUUCCAUCACAACACCCAUCAUUUUCGAC
rnacentral:misc_RNA from 1 species